GUUGUUGUAGUAUAAUGGUGAGUAUUCCCCCCUGACACACGGGUAACUCGGGUUUGACCCUCGAUAACAGUG
rnacentral:tRNA from 1 species